AAACUAACAAGGAUUCCUUUAGUAACGGCGAGUGAACCGGGAAAAGCUCAAAUUUGUAAUCUGGCUGUCUUCGAUAGUCCGAGUUGUAAUCUAUAGACGUGUUUUCCGUGCUGGAUCGUAUCUAAGUCCCUUGGAACAGGGUAUCAAAGAGGGUGACAAUCCCGUGCUUGAUACGACGACCAGUGCUCUGUGAUACACGUUCUACGAGUCGAGUUGUUUGGGAAUGCAGCUCAAAAUGGGUGGUAAAUUCCAUCUAAAGCUAAAUAUUGGCGAGAGACCGAUAGCGAACAAGUACCGUGAGGGAAAGAUGAAAAGCACUUUGGAAAGAGAGUUAAACAGUACGUGAAAUUGUUGAAAGGGAAACGAUUGAAGUCAGUCGUGUUCUUCAGAUUCAGCUGGUUCUUCCAGUCUACUUCUGUUGAACGGGUCAACAUCAGUUUUGUCCGGUGGAUAAAGGUAGUAGGAAUGUGACUCCCCCGGGAGUGUUAUAGCCUAUUAUUGCAUACACUGGGUGAGACUGAGGACUGCAGCUCGCCUUUUGGCCGGUCUUCGGACACGUUCGAGCUUAGGAUGUUGACAUAAUGGCUUUAAACGACCC
rnacentral:rRNA from 1 species